GACGAACGCUGGCGGCGUGCCUAAUACAUGCAAGUCGAACGCAGUGGGGACGGGUGAGUAACACGGGGGUAACCUCCCAUCAGAGGGGAUAACACUUGGAAACAGGUGCUAAACCGAUACUGAUGGAUGGACCCGCGGUGCAUUAGCUAGUUGGGGAGGUAACGGCGCCACAAGGCCACGAUGCAUAGCCGACCUGAGAGGGUGCUCGGCCACACUGGCACUGAGACACGGCCCAGACUCCUACGGACGGCCGCAGUAGGGAAUCUUCGGCAAUGGACGAAAGUCUGACCGAGCAACGCCGCGUGAGUGAAGCAGGUUUUCGGAUCGUAAAACUCUGUUGUUAGAGAAGCGGUAUCUAACCAGAAAGCCACGUCUAACUACGUGCCAGCAGCCGCGGUAAUUC
rnacentral:rRNA from 1 species